rnacentral:rRNA from 1 species
GAGUUUGAUCAUGGCUCAGGAUGAACGCUAGCGGGAGGCUUAACACAUGCAAGUCGAGGGGCAUCACGAGGUAGCAAUACUUUGGUGGCGACCGGCGCACGGGUGAGUAACACGUAUGCAACCUACCCUGUACAGGGGGAUAACCCGGAGAAAUUCGGACUAAUAUCCCAUGCAAUUAUUGGAGGGCAUCCUUUGAUAAUUAAAGCUCAGGCGGUAUAGGAUGGGCAUGCGGAACAUUAGCUAGUUGGUAGGGUAACGGCCUACCAAGGCUACGAUGUUUAGGGGACCUGAGAGGGUUAUCCCCCACACUGGUACUGAGACACGGACCAGACUCCUACGGGAGGCAGCAGUGAGGAAUAUUGGUCAAUGGGCGCAAGCCUGAACCAGCCAUCCCGCGUGAAGGAAGAAGGCCCUAUGGGUUGUAAACUUCUUUUCCAGGGGGUGAAUAAUUCCGAUGUAUCGGGAGAUGACGGUACCCUGGGAAUAAGCAUCGGCUAACUCCGUGCCAGCAGCCGCGGUAAUACGGAGGAUGCGAGCGUUAUCCGG